UUUUUUAAUUAAAUUGUGCACAAAUUCACAAUAUACACAAAUUACAUUUCUAAAUACGUAAUCUGUAUUCUAUAAUCUACUUAGGUACCAUAGUCUGCAUGCUAUGACUAAAACAGUUCAUCUUUACUAUUAAAUAACGAAUAUAUUUUUAUUAUAAUUGUCUAUCCUGCUAUAUUUUAAAAUGUAAAGGACAUGUCACAAUACAUAUUUGCCCCUCCCCUUACUGUAUUUACCUACUGUUUAGUGUACAAUAGUAUUGAUAUUAUUUAGUGUAAUACUAUAAAUUAUAAUAGGAUUUUUACCUUUUAACACACAAUCAUAAGGAAAUAGUUACCAACACUCGUAGCUAUUGUAAAACGUUUAAUAUUGUAAAAUAAACGAAAAAAGGCUACACACUUCGCAAUGAGGGAAAGCAAGGUCACCCGCAGACAAAAAAUGUUCGAGGGGGCGUGUUAUCAAUAUAAUAGUAAUAUGUAACUAGUAGCUACCAUAUGCAAAUGCAAAACAUAUUAUACAAAUGUUUACAACCGCCUAAAAAUAUACAAAAUAGUAUUAAUUUAAUAUGGUCUUAUAAUAUCGUGUUGUCUACGCAACAUUACAAUACCAUCUAGACGGCCUUCUCCGGCCCUCGCCAACUUCACCUUAUCAAACUUUUACCAGCGGCGUUCGAGAGAAGGUCUAUAAUUAUAGUCACUUGAAACGCAAACGUUUUAGUCGUUUUACUGUUUUAAUUUCACUACAUUAUAUUAUAUUUUUAGUCACUCGUCACCCGUCACCCGUCAGAGCAGUUCGGACUUGUUUUUAACGGUUAUAUUUUGUUCAAAAACAGAAACACGACGACUCGUUACUAUUUUUUUUUUUUGUUUACUAGCGUUCGGUACGUACUUACAUGUCGUGAAAAGUGAAAACCUUCGUUAAGUGUCGUAACAGUUUGUCCUAUUUCUAAAGGCCCAUACUCAAACCGUUUAUACAUAAGUUGUGAUUGUUGUGAAUACCUACCUACUUCGUGCAGGGCCCUCUGCGGACUCAUAACAUUUAGUUUUGUAGAAUAUUUUGACCGGCCGUGGUUGCACGCUUCAAGUAUAAUUGUAAAUUGUAAUGUGUGAUAUGAAGCGUUUAUUUAGGAAAGUGGUUAAGAAACAUUUUUGUAAGAUCGCGGUUUUUAAAAUAUGUUAUACGUAUUAAUGUGCAUAUGAUUUGGUAAGGAUAUGUGUAUAUGUGUAUUUUUAACAUAUUAUUUUGUGUCUCGGAGGGUUAUUACUCGAAAUGGAUACACAUUAUCAAUUUAUAAUAAGUGUAUUGGCUUGGAAUAUUAUGGUGAAGUUUACUAUUCAGAAACUUAUCAGAAACUUUUAUAAACGCAUUUAGCUUCUUAGUUCUUCGUGUGAGGUGUGAAAUGUACUGAUUUUUUAACGACCGACAUUAUUAUUCAGAGAUAUUUUUGAAGUGCAUUAUUCGAUAAAAAAAGGGAGGAGCAUAACAUGUCAUAAAUCAUAAUAGCAGUACCAAAUUAAACAGUUAAUUUUCUAAGGUCAGUAUUUUGAAAUGCCUGAAUAAAUUGAAUUCGAGUUAGUGUACUGCAAUUAUAAAGCUGGUUAGGUUAACAACUAAAUCCUCAAUACAUCCAAUCGAUCAGACAGAGUUUACCUUUUAAAAGGAGUUCGGGAAAUAUAAAAUAUUAAAUGUCAAAAAUGUUUAGACAUUUUUAAUUGAUUGCAACGUUACAAUACGCUUAGCUUCGUUUGAAAACUGUUUUUGAUAUUUCAUAUUGCCACAUUAAAAAGUUCUAUUUUAGUAUAACAAUAUUGAAUAUUAUAUUAUAUUAUACUAAAAUAAACUUACCACGGAAUUUCGGUCGCCCUUGUUAAAGAAUUGAGAGUGAUAUAGUAUAUGGUCGUAUGCCUAAUAUAGAAUAUAUAGAUUAUAGGGUGUUUAUUUCGAGAUUUCUUUUAAUUUUCAAAACAUCAAAAUCAUAACAAAAAAUAAUAUUAAAUAAUAGAUGAUCUAAAAUAAGCAAUUAUUAUAGAUGCUUCGAUGGACCGGGCACAAUGAUUAUAGGUCUGAAUGUUUCAGUCCCGAGUACCAGCUGCAGUUGUUUAUUUAUUACUGUUAUAAUAUUAUAUAACGCUCGAUUAUCCGUAAAUAUCGCACACCCAGUGAUUGAUUUAGAGCAGGAAUGUAAAUUUGCCACCUCCUCCCCCCCUACUUCGACAUCCUCAUGAUGGUUUCGUCGCGUCGCGUAAAUUUAAAAUUAUAUAAAAGUUAAAACGAUAAAAAAAAACACUAAAACCGUUUCGGGAUAGACGUCCAAAAUCAACCAAGGUCGGGUUUGUCAUAUACGCGUACACGUCACAGUCGUAAUGUAUACAUUCAAUAAUGUUGCUAUAUUAAAUGAAUAUUUAUAACUGCAGUGCUUGAAAAUUCGACGACGAAAAAAAUAGUAGGUAGGUACUAGACUCUGAUGACAUAAUUAAUUAUUCAAAAUUGAGUUCCUAUACUCGCACAUUAUAUUGUUAUUAGGUACCCGCAAAUGGCCGCUAGACGAAAAAGCGUUUUCAGUUUUUAGAAAAACAAAAAUCCUCAGACCUCAGUAUAAAAAGUAAUCCUUUUUCAUAGGUGCUUUCUGAAUGAUGUAGUCAAUUAUUUUAUUGAUGGCAUAAAAUAUUCAAGAAAAACACAUAUAUUAUUAUCAUAUUAUAAGAUAAAUUACAUCAUUAUUUUUAUAAUUUAUUUUCUUUAUAAAUUAUAUUCAAUUAGAUUUAGUGUGCAAGUUGCCAGUGUACAACAAUGUAUAUGGUAAAUUCAUAUAUUUUAAUAUUAUAAUAUUUAUUAUAGUUUACGUAUUUGUUUUAUUUUUUGUUACAUUGAAUGAUUCAUGUCUAAAAUUGUUUACUCAGGUAUUAUUUAUAUAUACAUUUUUUUGUACGGGAAAUACGUUUUUACUAACAUUCUACUAUCAUACAAAUCGCAUAAUACUAUCCAACAGAAAUUACAUCCAAUUAUUUUUAACAAUGUUUUUAAAUGUUAUUAAUAAUAAAUAAUAAUAACUUAUUAUACUUAUUUGGGUUAGGUUAAUUACCCCAUAACUCCAGUCUCCAAUUUAAGAAUGCCUUCAAUCUUCAUUCAAAGAAUUUCACUACCCUAAUAAACAGAAAAAUUGUUUACAUACUGUAUUAUUCUAAGAACCUAAGGGCUAAACGAAAUGGUAAAAUAUUUAAAAUUCAUUUAUUUUUUACACAAGAGUCAAAAUUAAAUUUUAAAGAGACAGGAAUUUUUCUAGUAAUUAUAAUUAUCUUAAAUAAAUUAUAUGAAGAUUUCACUUUUAUUGAUAUUGUCGAAAACGAUGUCCGGACCGUUUUAUGUGAACCGCAUUACUAAUUUUAAGCAUAGAUAUUUUUUGUCAAAUAUUUUGUUUUUACUUGAUUGUCAUUGACUUUUAAAUUUUGAUCACUUUCAUAACAAAUUAUGUGAUCAAUAUCGAAGAAACAUAGCGCAUAAGACAUUAAGACAUAACACAUCAUCAGUCAUCACGUUGGUAGCCGAUAGGCUAUAUACCUAUAUUCAUUUUAGGCUAAGUAUUUGGCAUUUCGGCUACACAAGUUCUAUGUGACCAUAAGUAUAAUAUAUAAUUUAGUUAGCAAUCACAAUACAUAGGUAAUAAUAUAUUAUAUUUUGUUUUUUAUACCUACUCUUGAUGAGCUUUCAAUUUUUUUCUUUUUUUACAGCUUAAUCAAAUAUGAUGUGUUAGUAAUCUAACUAUAGACAUUUUAAUUAUUAAAUAAUUGACCAUCCACGCCCCCUCUCAAAAAAAAAAAAACAAU